AUUGAACGCUGGCGGCAGGCUUAACACAUGCAAGUCGAGCGGGGGAAGGUAGCUUGCUACCUAACCUAGCGGCGGACGGGUGAGUAAUGCUUAGGAAUCUGCCUAUUAGUGGGGGACAACAUUUCGAAAGGGAUGCUAAUACCGCAUACGCCCUAAGGGGGAAAGUAGGGGAUCUUCGGACCUUGCGCUAAUAGAUGAGCCUAAGUCGGAUUAGCUAGUUGGUGGGGUAAAGGCCUACCAAGGCGACGAUCUGUAGCGGGUCUGAGAGGAUGAUCCGCCACACUGGGACUGAGACACGGCCCAGACUCCUACGGGAGGCAGCAGUGGGGAAUAUCGGACAAUGGGGGGAACCCUGAUCCAGCCAUGCCGCGUGUGUGAAGAAGGCCUUUUGGUUGUAAAGCACUUUAAGCGAGGAGGAGGCUACCGAGAUUAAUACUCUUGGAUAGUGGACGUUACUCGCAGAAUAAGCACCGGCUAACUCUGUGCCAGCCGCCGCCGUAAUAC
rnacentral:rRNA from 1 species